rnacentral:rRNA from 1 species
GAUGAACGCUGGCGGCGUGCUUAACACAUGCAAGUCGAACGAUGAAGCCCAGCUUGCUGGGUGGAUUAGUGGCGAACGGUGAGUAACACGUGAGUAACCUGCCCUUAACUCUAGGAUAAGCCUGGGAAACUGGGUCUAAUACCGGAUAGGAGCGUCCACCGCAUGGUGGGUGUUGGAAAGAUUUAUCGGUUUUGGAUGGACUCGCGGCCUAUCAGCUUGUUGGUGAGGUAAUGGCUCACCAAGGCGACGACGGGUAGCCGGCCUGAGAGGGUGACCGGCCACACUGGGACUGAGACACGGCCCAGACUCCUACGGGAGGCAGCAGUGGGGAAUAUUGCACAAUGGGCGCAAGCCUGAUGCAGCGACGCCGCGUGAGGGAUGACGGCCUUCGGGUUGUAAACCUCUUUCAGUAGGGAAGAAGCGAAAGUGACGGUACCUGCAGAAGAAGCACCGGCUAACUACGUG